UCAAUAGGGUUUAGUUUGUUUAUUGUCCCUCUUAAGCUGAACUUUCAAUUUCUUACCACCUAAUUGGAAUCCAUUCAUCAUGUUAAUAGCAUUUUGUGCAGCUGCUGGUGAGUCAUAACUAACAAAACCAAAACAUUUGCUAACACCAGUUGCUUUAUCGACAAAGACCUUAGCACUCAAGACUUUACCAAAUUGCUGAAAAGCAUUGGCAAGCUCUUGGUCACCAAAUUCU
rnacentral:misc_RNA from 1 species